GGGGAUGUAACUCAGUGGUAGAGUGCUCGCUUCGCAUGCGAGAAGUCCGGGGUUCAACUCCCUGCAUCUCCA
rnacentral:tRNA from 1 species